UACGUAGGUGACAAGCGUUGUCCGGAUUUACUGGGCGUAAAGAGCGCGCAGGCGGUCGUUUCAAGUCGAGUGUGAAAGCCCCCGGCUCAACUGGGGAGGGUCACUCGAUACUGAUCGACUCGAAGGCAGGAGAGGGAAGUGGAAUUCCCGGUGUAGUGGUGAAAUGCGUAGAAUAUCAGGAGGAACACCCGUAGCGAAGGCGGCACUCUGGGCCGAUACUGACGUGAGACGCGAAAGCUAGGG
rnacentral:rRNA from 1 species